UGUGGUAUUGGUGUGCUGGAUAUCCCUUCACUGGUAGCCUGGUAACAUAUACUCCCAUGUUUUUCUCUGCCUCUGUGGUGGAUAGUGGAGUGUUUCCCAUGUGGUAUUGGUGUGCUGGAUAUCCCUUCACUGGUAGCCUGGUAACAUACACUCCCAGGUCUUUCUCUGCCUCUGUGGUGGAUAGUGGAGUGUUUCCCAUGUGGUAUUGGUGUGCUGGAUAUCCCUUCACUGGUAGCCUGGUAACAUACACUCCCAGGUCUUUCUCUGCCUCUGUGGUGGAUAGUGGAGUGUUUCCCAUGUGGUAUUGGUGUGCUGGAUAUCCCUUCACUGGUAGCCUGGUAACAUACACUCCCAAGUCUUUCUCUGCCUCUGUGGUGGAUAGUGGAGUGUUUCCCAUGUGGUAUUGGUGUGCUGGAUAUCCCUUCACUGGUAGCCUGGUAACAUACACUCCCAUGUUUUUCUCUGCCUCUGUGGUGGAUAGAUGAGUGUUUCCCAUGUGGUAUUGGUGUGCUGGAUAUCCCUUCACUGGUAGCCUGGUAACAUACACUCCCAGGUCUUUCUCUGCCUCUGUGGUGGAUAGUGGAGUGUUUCCCUUGUGGUAUUGGUGUGCUGGAUAUCCCUUCACUGGUAGCCUGGUAACAUACACUCCCAGGUCUUUCUUUGCCUCUGUGGUGGAUAGUGGAGUGUUUCCCAUGUGGUAUUGGUGUGCUGGAUAUCCCUUCACUGGUAGCCUGGUAACAUACACUCCCAGGUCUUUCUCUGGCUCUGUGGUGGAUAGUGGAGUGUUUCCCAUGUGGUAUUGGUGUGCUGGAUAUCCCUUCACUGGUAGCCUGGUAACAUACACUCCCAAGUCUUUCUCUGCCUCUGUGGUGGAUAGUGGAGUGUUUCCCAUGUGGUAUUGGUGUGCUGGAUAUCCCCUCCCAAGGUGCAGGACUUUACAUUUUUCUUCACUGAAUUGUAGCAGCCACUUUUGUUCCAUUCCUGUAGCUUGGUGAUGUC